GACGUAGGGCGCGAGCGUUGUCCGGAUUUAUUGGGCGUAAAGAGCUCGUAGGCGGUCUGUCGCGUCCGUUGUGAAAACUCGAGGCUCAACCUCGGGCUUGCAGUGGAUACGGGCAGACUAGAGUGCGGUAGGGGAGACUGGAAUUCCUGGUGUAGCGGUGGAAUGCGUUGAUAUCAGGAGGAACACCCAUGGCGAAGGCAGCAAACUGGGCAUCAUCUGACGCUGAGGCGCGAAAGCGUGGGUAGCAAACAGG
rnacentral:rRNA from 1 species